rnacentral:rRNA from 1 species
UGGAUAACCUGCCCUCUAGUGGGGAAUACCGUUGGGAAACCGACGACAAUACCGCAUAAGCUCGAGAGAGGAAAGCAGCAAUGCGCUGGAGGAAGGGUCCGCGGCCGAUUAGCUUGUUGGUAGGGUAAUGGCCUACCAAGGCUGUGAUCGGUAGCCGGCCUGAGAGGGCACACGGCCACACUGGCACUGAAACACGGGCCAGACUCCUACGGGAGGCAGCAGUGGGGAAUCUUGCACAAUGGGGGAAACCCUGAUGCAGCGACGCCGCGUGAGCGAUGAAGCCCUUCGGGGUGUAAAGCUCUUUCGGCAGGGAAGAUUAUGACGGUACCUGCAGAAGCAGCUGCGGCUAACUACGUGCCAGCAGCCGCGGUAAUACGUAGGCAGCAAGCGUUGUUCGGAGUUACUGGGCGUAAAGGGUGCGCAGGCGGUCCUGUAAGUAUGGUGUGAAAUCUCCCGGCUUAACUGGGAGGGUGCGCUAUAAACUGCGGGACUAGAGUGUGGGAGAGGAAAGUGGAAUUCCUGGUGUAGCGGUGAAAUGCGUAGAUAUCAGGAGGAACACCGGUGGUGUAAACGGCUUUCUGGACCAUAACUGACGCUGAGGCACGAAAGCGUGGGUAGCAAACAGGAUUAGAUACCCUGGUAGUCCACGCCCUAAACGAUGCAUAUUUGGUGUGGGUCAUUCAGUUGAUCCGUGCCGGAGCUAACGCGUUAAAUAUGCCGCCUGGGGAGUACAGUCGCAAGGCUGAAACUCAAAGGAAUUGACGGGGGCCCGCACAAGCGGUGGAGCAUGUGGUUUAAUUCGACGCAACGCG